rnacentral:rRNA from 1 species
UACGUAGGGUGCGAGCGUUAAUCGGAAUUACUGGGCGUAAAGGGUGCGUAGGCGGCGCAGUAAGUUGGGUGUGAAAUCCCUCGGCUUAACCGAGGAAUUGCGCCCAAAACUACUGUGCUCGAGGGAGGUAGAGGUGAGCGGAACUUAGGGUGGAGCGGUGAAAUGCGUUGAUAUCCUAAGGAACACCGGUGGCGAAAGCGGCUCACUGGACCUCUUCUGACGCUGAGGCACGAAAGCUAGGGUAGCAAACGGG